rnacentral:sRNA from 1 species
GCACAGAGGCCAGAGUGGGCUUGGGGCAGCAGUGGAGUGAGGCCACCAGCUGACUGUCAGGGUCUCUCUCCCCAGGUGAUGGGGAGGAAGUACAUCCAGCUGUAUUCCCCGCAGGAGUCAGGGGCUCUGUACCCUCAUGACACGCACCUUCUCCAUAACACGAGCCAGGUGGGCACUGGGGGUCUGGGGUGACGUUGCAGGUUCUCCCCACUGCCCCUGCAGAUGAUGACGUCCUUUGCUUUCUUCAGGUUGACGUGGAGAAUCCCGACCUGGAAAAGUUCCCCAAGUUUGCCAAGGCCCCAUUCCUGUCCUGCAUCCUGUCUCCUGGAGAGAUCCUGUUCAUCCCGGUGAAAUACUGGCAUUACGUGCGGGCUCUGGAUUUGAGCUUCUCGGUCAGCUUCUGGUGGUCGUAGCCAGGAUAGGAGCUGAAAGGGCCUGACAUGCAGACAGCAUUCAUCUGUUCACUAAUUUCCUGGGUCCUGGAAUCUAUAGAGACAAGCAGGACUGAACCUGUGUCCUGAAGAGCCUUCACUGCCCAGUGGCAGCCCUGGGGGGCUGAGCUCCAGCACUGGACAGGCACAGAGU